GGCCUGGUUGGACGGUCUGCUCUAGGGUUUGUACUGUCCUGACUGGGUCUUACCUUCUGGUGAGCUGUCGUAUUGUUUACUCAGUGCGGCAGGGAACCAGGACUUUUACUUUGAAAAAAUUAGAGUGUUUAAAGCAGGCUUUCGCUUGAAUACAUUAGCAUGGAAUAAUAGAAUAGGACUUUGGUUCUAUUUUGUUGGUUUCUAGGACCGAAGUA
rnacentral:rRNA from 1 species